GCCGCUAGUGGGGCGGCCUGGGCCGGGCAGGCGCACGGCUCUGAGCCCAGCGCAGCCAAGCCGGUCCGCAGAGGGUCCCCAGAACUUUGUGUGUGUGUGUUCGUGUGUGUGUGUGUGUGUGUGUGUGUGCGCGCGUGUGUCUGUGCGCGCGCGCGCGUGUGUGUGUGUGCGAGGGUGCGCGCGUGCUGGCCUGGGGGGGAACCGACCCUAAGGAGAGCCCCCGGCUGGCAAAGUGGUUCGCCCAUCUCGCAGCCGGUUGGUGCUCACGGAGAAUCCCAGGCUACUGUUGCUAAAAGGGACCUCAGAGGUCAUCUGGGCCAGCCCUGCCCUUUGAGAGUUGAAGAAAUGAAGUCCAAAGAAGUAAAAUCUAUCGCCCAAUGUCACACAGUAUUGAAGCUUAGAAAUAGGAGACAUUUGCUGCCUGGACUGCCUGGCUGAUUUGAGCUAGUUUGUCUGCUAGCCAGUUUGAGUUGGAUGUUUAAAUAGGAGGCAGAAUAAC